rnacentral:rRNA from 1 species
AUACGGAGGGUGCAAGCGUUACUCGGAAUCACUGGGCGUAAAGCGCGCGCAGGCGGCUAUUUAAGUUGGAUGUGAAAGCCCACGGCUCAACCGUAGAACUGCAUCCAAAACUAUUUAGCUAGAGUGUGGGAGAGGAAGAUGGAAUUAGUUGUGUAGGGGUAAAAUCCGUAGAGAUAACUAGGAAUACCAAAAGCGAAGGCAAUCUUCUGGAACACUACUGACGCUGAGGCGCGAAAGCGUGGGGAGCAAACAGGAUUAGAAACCCCAGUAGUCC